rnacentral:rRNA from 1 species
AGGACGAACGCUGGCGGCGUGCUUAACACAUGCAAGUCGAGCGGAAAGGCCCUUUCGGGGGUACUCGAGCGGCGAACGGGUGAGUAACACGUGAGUAACCUGCCUUUGGCUUUGGGAUAACCCUCGGAAACGGGGGCUAAUACCGGAUAUUCACUUUGGCCGGCAUCGGUUGGGGUGGAAAGUUUUUUUCGGCCAGGGAUGGGCUCGCGGCCUAUCAGCUUGUUGGUGGGGUAAUGGCCUACCAAGGCGACGACGGGUAGCCGG